GCGCGCUGCUCGGCGUCGCUUGGCCGCUAACGUUCGCUAAGGGCCGUUGGAGGGAGAAGAGCGAGGCGGUGCCACAGAACCUUCCAGAGCGGCGACGUUGAAGGCAGGUGCUGUGAAGCUGCAAUCAGACCUUGUUGUGGUAAAGAAGAGAAAGCAGCAGCUGUGUUCUGACGUUGGCCUUGUACUUCACUAUGGGAUCUUAGUCAAGGAGCCUGGCUCUACUGAAAUAUGGUUCUGUUCUCCUGCAAGUGGUGUGGAGUUUGUUGCUUGUUCUGCCCUCAUCAAAGACUGAGGCGAAGUUUUUGCUGCACCAUCACCUGGUGGUUUGCAUUGCUGACUGCAGAUUGCUUCAAGGCUGCUGGCAAACGACAGGCAUUUGGAAUGGCCUCUUUUCAUGAGUAACUGAGCUCUGUUACAGCCUUGUGUACACAAGGCUGGGUCCUCACACUGCCCCUGGGUUCACAUCUGGUGCUGCUUUACUCACGUUCCCCACUCAGAAAGUCUGAUGAUAAAGACCUCAGGAAAGGAGUACAUCUCAGUCCUAGAGAAACCGACCUGGAUUCUGUUAAUGAAACAUUUUCUCUGCGAGAGGCAGCAAGGGAGACACAUACUUGAUCUGCUCCCCUCACCUGUGAUGUGCUGCAGCCUGCUACCAGCCAAGGACUGUCUCCAGGAAUAAAGCUUAUACAAUUAUGUUAUGGGUAGGCAAUUUUUUCUCUCUGCUUCCGAAAUUUCAAGACAAUCUACUUUCAUGGCUGCAAUUCCUAUCUCCUCAAAUAAAACCAGGCUGAAUGAUACUUAACUGCGUUCAUAAAGCUCAGAACUUCUCAUGAUUUGAAUACCAUCAGCUCCAGACUGAUUCCUGCAGUUCACUCUGGCAGUAAGGAAGAUGUUUCAAGAGUCCAGCUCUAAUUGUUCUUGAUUUUCACUGAGUCUUAACAUAAGCUGUUGUUCAUAAUAAAGGCUCUUUGCAUAGUUUA